AGAAGUUUGGUUGGUUAGAGCACCUGAUUGUGGUUCAGGGGGUCGCGGGUUCAAGUCCCGUCUUCCA
rnacentral:tRNA from 1 species